rfam:Pediococcus cellicola strain DSM 17757 Scaffold6, whole genome shotgun sequence.
CGGGAAGUAGCUCAGCUUGGUAGAGCACCACGUUCGGGACGUGGGGGUCGCAGGUUCAAAUCCUGUUUUCCCGA